rnacentral:tRNA from 1 species
GCGCCCGUAGCUCAAUUGGAUAGAGCGUCUGACUACGGAUCAGAAGGUUGGGGGUUCAAAUCCUCCCGGGCGCG